rnacentral:rRNA from 1 species
AGCCGAGCGGUAUAAGAUCUUCGGAUCUUAGAGAGCGGCGCACGGGUGCGGAACACGUGUGCAACCUACCUUUAUCAGGGGGAUAGCCUUUCGAAAGGAAGAUUAAUACCCCAUAAUAUAUUGAAUGGCAUCAUUCGAUAUUGAAAACUCCGGUGGAUAGAGAUGGGCACGCGCAAGAUUAGAUAGUUGGUGAGGUAACGGCUCACCAAGUCAAUGAUCUUUAGGGGGCCUGAGAGGGUGAUCCCCCACACUGGUACUGAGACACGGACCAGACUCCUACGGGAGGCAGCAGUGAGGAAUAUUGGACAAUGGGUGAGAGCCUGAUCCAGCCAUCCCGCGUGAAGGACGACGGCCCUAUGGGUUGUAAACUUCUUUUGUAUAGGGAUAAACCUUUCCACGUGUGGAAAGCUGAAGGUACUAUACGAAUAAGCACCGGCUAACUCCGUGCCAGCAGCCGCGGUAAUACGGAGGGUGCAAGCGUUAUCCGGAUUUAUUGGGUUUAAAGGGUCCGUAGGCGGACUCGUAAGUCAGUGGUGAAAUCUCAUAGCUUAACUAUGAAACUGCCAUUGAUACUGCGGGUCUUGAGUAAGGUAGAGGUAGCUGGAAUAAGUAGUGUAGCGGUGAAAUGCAUAGAUAUUACUUAGAACACCAAUUGCGAAGGCAGGGUUACCAUGUCUUAACUGACGCUGAUGG